rnacentral:rRNA from 1 species
GAUGAACGCUGGCGGCGUGCCUAACACAUGCAAGUCGAGCGAGAUAAAUGUGAGUGGAGACUUCGGUCAAAGCAAUCAUUUUGGAAGCGGCGGACGGGUGAGUAACGCGUGAGCAAUCUGCCCCAUACAAAGGGAUACCCACUGGAAACGGUGAUUAAUACCUUAUAAGACCACGAAGUCGCCUGGCUUAGUGGCCAAAGAUUUAUCGGUAUGGGAUGAGCUCGCGUCUGAUUAGCUAGUUGGUGAGGUAAUGGCUCACCAAGGCGACGAUCAGUAGCCGACCUGGGAGGGUGAACGGCCACACUGGAACUGAGACACGGUCCAGACUCCUACGGGAGGCAGCAGUGGGGAAUAUUGGACAAUGGGGGCAACCCUGAUCCAGCCAUGCCGCGUGAGUGAUGAAGGCCUUAGGGUUGUAAAGCUCUUUUACCCGGGACGAUAAUGACUGUACCGGGAGAAUAAGCCCCGGCUAACUUCGUGCCAGCCGCCGCCGUAA